rnacentral:lncRNA from 1 species
GUUGUACACUGAGCUCUUGCUUCAUACUUCCAGAAAAAACAUGGACAAAAAUUCAAAUACAUUUUUCAAUGAAAUUUAAAAAAUCGCCAAGUAUGCUACAGUAAAUAUUAAAAUUUUAGAAACUUCAGGAGUUAUAUUUAAAAAGAUGGCAGUAACCGGUUUUUUUAUGGCAAUAAUAUUAAACACCCAAUUCAAAUUGUCAGUGGUACAGUUGCACUAAGAAAAAAAUUCCUGAAACAAUUGUUUAUAAAAAACCUAAUAAUUUUGUUUGAUUUAAAAUUGACUUAAAAUACAAUAAAUAUUUUCAUUGGUUAUGAAAAUAGUGAUUCACUAUAAAAUAAAUAUUAUGUAUAUAUCAGCUAUGAAAAUGACUAAUUUCUUGAUUUUUCAUAGCUGCCAAUAUUUAUACCAAUAUAUUAACCAGUUAGUUAGACUCUGUAGUCAAGGGAACAAGACCCUAUUUCAGUUCAAAAUCAAUCUGAUUGCAUCGCUCAUGAAUAAUUUUAGUGUCAGAGACCCAAGAAACUUAUAAUGGAUCAGGAAAAUCAACUCAAAUAUAUAACGAAGAAAAAUAUGAUUGGAAAUAAUAUUUUCAUUGGUUAUGAAAAUAGUGAUACACUAUAAAAUAAACAUUAUGUAUAUAUCGGCUAUGAAAAUGACUGAUUUCUUGAUUUUUCAUAGCUGCCAAUAUUUAUACCAAUAUAUUAACCAGUUAGUUAGACUCUGUGGUCAAGACCCUAUUUCAGUUCAAAAUCAAUCUGAUUUCAUCGCUCAUGAAUAAUUUUAGUGUCGGAGACCCAAGAACCUUAUAAUGGAUCAGGAAAAUCAACUCAAAUAUAUAACGAAGAAAGAUAUGAUUGGAAAUCAAUUCACGGCUAAUACAUUUUUUAUCUCUGUAUAAAAUUUACUCAGUUAAUGAUAAUGAGUUUGAAGACAAAGACAAAUAUUGCUAUCUUGACCAAAAGUCAUCAACUGUGAAUGGCUUUUUAAAGAAUAAGCUCUUAUAGAUUUUGCAGAAUAUAUGAAAGAAGGUAAGAAAAUGUUAUCAAAUUAUACUUAUAAAAAAUAUUUAUAUUU